GGGAACAUACGUAAUACUUUCAACAAUAAAGAUUUUUUUUAAAAAAGAAGUCAUUAAAGAGAACAUUUUAGAUUAUAUUCUUAUAGCAAAGACCCUGUUUAACAAUUCUUUGCAUUACUUAGCAUUAUGUAGUGCUACUAGGCAUGGGAAGCUGUGGUUUAAAAUGGUCAAUUAUUUCACUCAUAUGGAAUAUAAACCUGAAAGCUACAAAUAAACAAACAAAUACUCAUAGACACAGACAACAGUAUGGAGUUUAUCAGAAGGAAAGGGGUUAAGGAGGAUGUAGAAGGGGUAAAAGCAGUCAAAUAUAUAGAGACAGACAGAGGGUGGUGAAAAUACAAUGGACUAUACAGAUGAUGUAUUAUAGAACUGUACACUUGAAACAUGUAAUUUUAUUAAUUAAUGUCACACCAAUACAUUCAAUAAAAUUUUUUAAAAGAGCCUGUGGAGAUUUGACUGGGGUGGUGAAAGCACAAUACAGUAUACAGAAUGUAUUAUAGAAUUGUACACUUGAAUCCUAUAUAAUUUUGUUAACCAAUAUCACCCCAAUAAAUUCAAUAAAAAUCAAAUGAAAUGUGUUCACUAAAAAAAUAAACAAAAAAAUUUAAGAAGAGCUUAUGAAGCUGCAAAGUAUCAUCACUAACUAUCCCCCUGGCUAAAGCAACCACUCUCUAUUUUGUAAGUGGUAUACGUGCAGUUCUUGAGAAGGAAUGGCAACCCCUGUCAGCUUUGAAUUUGAAAAUAUGCUUCAUCAAAUGAUCUACAUCAGUGAUUCUCAAACUGUGGUCCUUAGCACCAGAGAACCUUUUAGAAAUGCAAGUUCUGGGGCCCCACCCCAGAUCUAUAAAAUGAGCAACUCUGGGAGUUGGGCCUGUAUCUACAGGCAUUUCUCGAUUUACUGCACUUCACUCCCGUGUGCUCUCUAGAUGUUGUGUUUUUUAAUAAUUGAAGGCAAGACACUCCCUCAACAAAAGAGAAUUAUGACUUGCCUUCUUGCAGUGCUCUGGAAACAAACCUGCAAUUAUCUCCAAGGUAUACUGGAAGUUUAGCCUUCAGGUGAUUCCAAUGCAUGCUAAAGUUUGAGCACUGAUUUACAAGAAACAUAAAACUUUGAUCCAAACAUAUUUUGAUCUAAAAAUAGUUUUAAUAGACCUCAAUUCUAAAGAACAGAAUGAGAGCGUACACAGGAUGGGACAAAAUUGGGUUUGCAGUUGUUCAUAUGGAAAAUAAUACAAUGAUUAAUAAAUAAUAAUACAAGGAUAAACUCUGUUUCACGUAUUCACAACUCUAAACCCACUUUUGCCUCACCCUGUAUUGGCAUUUUAAAUCUCCAGCAUUCUUAUAUCAUACAGGGCUUUGAACUUCUCUGAGUGAUUACCUGUUGGCCUAAAACCAGUAUUUUAAAAGACCGGGGAAAGAACAUUAAAAGCAUAAAGAGAUCAUAUUUCUCCCCUCUUAAGUAACUGUGUAUUACAUUAGCAUAGCCCUGGUAGAGAGAACAAAAGUUAGAGGGCAGUGCAGUGGCAGUGGAGUUACAGUUGUGUUCCCAGCUAUGAAGUCAGUCUUUGUUUUCUUAUUCCAGGUCAGGACCUUUGGAACAAUGCUUCUUUGAGCAGGUGUAUUAGGCUUUCACAGCACCAGUCAGAUGUAAGGGGGGUGGGGGGCCGAUAAAGCUUCAUAAGUAGAAAAUGCCAUUCUCUUGAAACAGUGUAUUCCUAAUAGAAAUAGUUUCAUCCCUUAAAAAACGAAAGAAGAAAAAAAAAAAAGCUGUGUAACAUUUCAGAAGCAACAAAAAACUUUUUAAGUUCAUUAUAUAGAAAUUAUAUGUUGGAGACAGAAAAAAAAAGGGUAGUUUGUCAAUGCUAGUGAAAUAGGGUUUUAUAAUAUGUAAUCACUUUAAACAAUUUGAUUAUAAACUAUACUCAUUAUUUAAGACCAAAAUACUACUAUAAUAUGCUUUAUUUGUUUUGAGAUGUACUUACAGGCCAUAGUCAAGUUUAGUGGUAAAUAUUAUAAUAGGGUCAAUGGUACAGGAUACAAUUAUAAGGACUCCUUAUAUUUUAAGACAGUUAGUCAUAGCACAAAGGAAGAGGAGUCAAGAGUUUCUAAGAAGAGGACAUACAUGAGAAAGCUGGGUAUUUGAAUACAUUACCAAUGAGCAAAAUUCAGUAAAGAAAUCCUACACAUAGGUGAUUUUAUCCAGACAACUUACAGUAACUAUAUUAUAAUUGCAAAUAACAGAUGAGUUUUUAAAAGCUUGAUUACAUCUUAAUGAAUUCUUAAAGACUUCCUUUAGUGCUGCUAGAGUUUUUCUACUGUGCAGCCUCUAACAGCAAUAACGUGCUCUUUUCCUAUGUGUGCUAAGUGGCUUGCUUGGAAGGACAGUAAAUGAUGUAUUUAAUAUUAAUUAGACCCAUGCAGGAGUUUUCAGAUCGGCUGUAUUAGCAAAUAAUCCCACUGCAAAUAAGUCUUUUGCAAAUAAGAAUGAGGGUUGAGCAACCUUUCAGUUUUCGCAGUCCCAGAACAUCCUCAUCUCCACAGUGCUACUUCCUACAGAAUGAAAUACACAGGAAAAUCAUCCUCUACUUCCUUCAAUGAGGUUGGGAGCUCCAGCUGCUCAGAUUAGGACCCCAUACACCGUUACUUCUGAAGCUACCCUAUGGCAUAAACUCUUGCAUAUUAUAGUGUAACACCAGUGUUUUGUCUUGUUAUACCUUUCCUCCAGAGCUGGAUUUUCUUGGAAACCAAUGAAGUUUAAGUUUCAGGGCCCCUCAUUUGCAGAGGCCCCCUUUUAAGGUUCUGAAAGAGACUCUAGCAAUUUUCUCACGGUCUUAUGUUUUGGUAAAAUUUGCAAAAGAUAUUUGAACUACAAUUGAUUGCAGAGUAGUCAUUUUGCUGAUUUCCCCUCCUUUGACUUCUCUCUCCUAACAGUUAGCAUUGGAGCAGCAGUGAGCAAAUUGCGGGUCUGGCCUAGAGAAGAUGGGAUGAGGAUACGUUUAGAUUUUGUUUUGAUUUAGUGGGAUGUGUAAAUGUGGCUUGUAGUCUUGUGCGUAUGGUUAAGCUAUUGCUAGCUGUCCUAGUAGAGAAAGGACAUCCAGGAAUACUCUUACUGUCUGCUGUACUAAAUCACAGGGCCUGAAGUCUUCAUAUAAACGUGUCCAGUGGUGCCUAGCAUCUGAAGUACGUGGGUGGUAAAAGAGAAACAGAACCAGAAGCUGGUCUAUGAAACUUUUCUGGGCUCUAAAAAACACAUAUAAAUGUAUAUAUUAACUAUUCUAGAGAAGUAUGCGAAUCAUCUUUUGAUCACAUCUUUAGCGGAUAUUAGAAAUCACUGUCAUGUGAAAUAACGAUUAAAGACUAAUGCAAAAAUGUAGGAACAAAAAACAUCUUAGGGUGCAUCAGUUAAUUAGUAAAAACACUUCUUUUCCUAGACUUUGUGAUUUUUGUUGUAUUUGUCACCCCAAUUUGUAAUUUGUUGUGAUUUCUUAUUCCAUUCUAAAUAAAUAUUCAUUGUAUAUCUAAUUUAACAUUUAAAAUUUUAUAUUCUUUUUCUUAAAAGAAGUUCCCCCAAACUGAGUAACUUUAAAACCUCUCAAAAAUGUGGAUCUUCAUCUAAAAGGAUUUGAUGUCUUUCCUGCACAGUAGGAUGAACAGCAAAGAAAUAAUUCCAGCAUCCUUCCUGCCCUCUUCACAGUAAAUUGGGAGCAUUGCAGCAUAUGUGGAAAGUUCAUUUCUUUUUCUGUGAAGGCAUGGAAUGUCUGUACAGAGACUUUAUAAAAUGGAUAACUUCGGUAUACUCUCAAGAUAUAACCAAUUCACUUUAAGGAGCUAAAAACUCAACAUUUCUUAGACCAAGCUGGAGUGAAAUUUUCAUCAUUUUACCUAGAGACUAAAGCCUGCAUUAACAACUCAAAAUUCUAGCUUAAAAUAUGGGGAAUCCCAAUUUCUUCACCCGAAGGACAACAUAAAGAGGCCAAACCAAAGCCUGAAAAAAUAGUGAUGGAGGUGUGUGGGAAAGGAAAAUUAUUUUCCAGUCUGCGCCUUUGCACACGUUGGACAAGAUGGGAUGAAAGUGUGGAUGUUUGAAGCCAUUUAGCACUGU